rnacentral:rRNA from 1 species
GACGAACGCUGGCGGCGUGCUUAACACAUGCAAGUCGAGCGGUAAGGCCCUUUCGGGGGUACGACGAGCGGCGAACGGGUGAGUAACACGUGGGUGACCUGCCCUCAGCUCUGGGAUAAGCCCGGGAAACUGGGUCUAAUACUGGAUAUGACUCCAUGACGCAUGUUGUGGGGUGGAAAGCCUUGUGCGGCUGAGGAUGGGCCCGCGGCCUAUCAGCUUGUUGGUGGGGNGAUGGCCUACCAAGGCGACGACGGGUAGCCGGCCUGAGAGGGCGACCGGCCACACUGGGACUGAGACACGGCCCAGACUCCUACGGGAGGCAGCAGUGGGGAAUCUUGCGCAAUGGGCGAAAGCCUGACGCAGCGACGCCGCGUGAGGGAUGACGGCCUGGUGUAAC